rnacentral:rRNA from 1 species
GAUGAACGCUGGCGGCGUGCCUAAUACAUGCAAGUCGAGCGAACGGACGAGAAGCUUGCUUCUCUGAUGUUAGCGGCGGACGGGUGAGUAACACGUGGAUAACCUACCUAUAAGACUGGGAUAACUUCGGGAAACCGGAGCUAAUACCGGAUAAUAUUUUGAACCGCAUGGUUCAAAAGUGAAAGACGGUCUUGCUGUCACUUAUAGAUGGAUCCGCGCUGCAUUAGCUAGUUGGUAAGGUAACGGCUUACCAAGGCAACGAUGCAUAGCCGACCUGAGAGGGGGAUCGGCCACACUGGAACUGAGACACGGUCCAGACUCCUACGGGAGGCAGCAGUAGGGAAUCUUACGCAAUGGGCGAAAGCCUGACGGAGCAACGCCGCGUGAGUGAUGAAGGUCUUCGGAUCGUAAAACUCUGUUAUUAGGGAAGAACAUAUGUGUAAGUAACUGUGCACAUCUUGACGGUACCUAAUCAGAAAGCAACGGCUAACUACGUG